ensembl:lncRNA novel transcript
CGCCUCAGCCAUGAACAACGCGGAGUUCUUUAAUACCCGUGAGCAGCAGCCCAGGCCCCUUGAAGAGUGCAGACUCCCACCUGGCCUGGGUCCGUAGGCCUCGCUCCACCCGCUGUUUACUUAUCCCAAGUCUGGAACCCACGGUGGCGGGGGGAAGGGCGUCUGGCUCCGCAGCAGAACACGAAGUUUGCAUUCCCCAAGGGGCGGCCAGGGGGCGGACCAGGGAAAGUCCGCCCCAGGUCAGCGACUUACAACUCUUCAUUCUGAAGUGCGUGUAGUGCCCUUGUCUCCAGAGACGCAGAGAGUCCUCGAGGCCCCUUGAGCUAAGUGCAGCCUGGCCCAGUUUCUCCUGCCCUACUCUACUCCCCUCCCUAUAAGCGACCCACCCUCAAGGGGCGGAGGGCGCGUAGGGAUGCGCUGACUCAUGCCCGCGUAAUUUCGACCAGUCUUUCAACCUGAACGACCCCCAGAAUCUGGCUGUCUGAGUUAUCUGUGGGUGGCUCC